rnacentral:rRNA from 1 species
UUCCAGACUCCUACGGGAGGCAGCAGUCGGGAAUAUUGCGCAAUGGAGGAAACUCUGACGCAGUGACGCCGCGUAUAGGAAGAAGGUUUUCGGAUUGUAAACUAUUGUAGACAGGGAAGAAGAAAGACAGUACCUGUAGAGUAAGCUCCGGCUAACUACGUGCCAGCAGCCGCGGUAAUACGUAGGGAGCAAGCGUUAUCCGGAAUUAUUGGGUGUAAAGGGUGCGUAGACGGGAAUACAAGUUAGUUGUGAAAUCCCUCGGCUUAACUGAGGAGCUGCAACUAAAACUAUAUUUCUUGAGUGCGGGAGAGGAAAGUGGAAUUCCCAGUGUAGCGGUGAAAUGCGUAAAUAUUAGGAGGAACACCAGUGGCGAAGGCGACUUUCUGGACCGUAACUGACGUUGAGGCACGAAAGUGUGGGGAGCAAACAGGAUUAGAUACCCCAGUAA